UCCGGUUGAUCCUGCCGGAGGCCAUUGCUAUCGGGGUCCGAUUUAGCCAUGCUAGUUGCACGAGUUCAGACUCGUGGCGAAUAGCUCCGUAACACGUGGCCAAGCUACCCUUCGGAGGAGGAUAACCUCGGGAAACUGAGGCUAAUACUCCAUACGCCGUUCCAACUGGAAUGUGGAACGGGCAGAAACGCUCCGGCGCCGAAGGAUGCGGCUGCGGCCGAUUAGGUAGACGGUGGGGUAACGGCCCACCGUGCCGAUAAUCGGUACGGGUUGUGAGAGCAAGAACCCGGAGACGGAAUCUGAGACAAGAUUCCGGGCCCUACGGGGCGCAGCAGGCGCGAAACCUUUACACUGCACGACAGUGCGAUAAGGGGACCCCGAGUGCGUAGGCAUAGAGCCUACGCUUUUGUACACCGUAGGGAGGUGUACGAAUAAGAGCUGGGCAAGACCGGUGCCAGCCGCCGCGGUAAUACCGGCAGCUCGAGUGAUGGCCGAUUUUAUUGGGCCUAAAGCGUCCGUAGCUGGCCGUGCAAGUCCGUCGGGAAAUCUCCCCGCUCAACGGGGAGGCGUCCGGCGGAAACUGCACGGCUUGGGACCGGAAGGCGUGACGGGUACGUCCGGGGUAGGAGUGAAAUCCUGUAAUCCUGGACGGACCGCCGAUGGGGAAACCACGUCACGAGGACGGAUCCGACAGUGAGGGACGAAAGCUAGGGUCUCGAACCGGAUUAGAUACCCGGGUAGUCCUAGCCGUAAACGAUGCCUGUUAGGUGUGACUCCCACUACGAGUGGGUGUUGUGCCGUAGGGAAGCCGCUAAACAGGCCGCCUGGGAAGUACGUCCGCAAGGAUGAAACUUAAAGGAAUUGGCGGGGGAGCACUACAACCGGAGGAGCCUGCGGUUUAAUUGGAUUCAACGCCGG
rnacentral:rRNA from 1 species